AUUGAACGCUGGCGGCAGGCCUAACACAUGCAAGUCGAACGAGUGGCGGACGGGUGAGUAAUGUCUGGGAACAUGCCUGAUGGAGGGGGAUAACUACUGGAAAAGGUAGCUAAUACCGCAUACCAGCAGAUGUGCCCAGAUGGGCUUAGCUUGUUGGUGGGGUAAGGGCUAACCACGGCGACGAUCCCUAGCUGGUCUGAGAGGAAGACCAGCCACACGGGAACGGAGACACGGUCAUGACUCCUACGGGAGGCAGCAGUGGGGAAUAUUGCACAAUGGGCGCAAGCCUGAUGCAGCCAUGCCGCGUGUAUGAAGGAGGCCUUCGGGUUGUAAAGUACUUGCAGCGGGUAGGCGUUACCCGCAGAAGAAGCACCGGCUAACUCCGUGCCAGCAGCCGCGGUAAUUC
rnacentral:rRNA from 1 species